rnacentral:rRNA from 1 species
GAAGAAGACCACAGGGAUUGCCUCAGUAACGGCGAGUGAAGCGGCAACAGCUCAAAUUUGAAAGCUGGCUCCUUCGGGGCCCGCGUUGUAAUUUGUAGAGGAUGCUUCGGGUGUGGUACCGGUCUAAGUUCUUUGGAACAAGGCGUCAUAGAGGGUGAGAAUCCCGUAUGUGACUGGUCACCUUCGCCCAUGUGAAGCUCCUUCGACGAGUCGAGUUGUUUGGGAAUGCAGCUCUAAAUGGGUGGUAUAUUUCAUCUAAAGCUAAAUAUUGGCCAGAGACCGAUAGCGCACAAGUAGAGUGAUCGAAAGAUGAAAAGCACUUUGGAAAGAGAGUUAAACAGUACGUGAAAUUGUUGAAAGGGAAGCGCUUGCAAUCAGACUUGCACGGCGUCGAUCAACCUGGGUUCUCCCUGGUGCACUCGGCGUCGUUCAGGCCAGCAUCAGUUUCGGCGGUUGGAUAAAGGCCUUGGGAACGUAGGUCCCCUCGGGGACCGUUAUAGCCCUCGGUGCAAUGCAGCCUGCCGGGACUGAGGACCGCGCUUCGGCUAGGAUGCUGGCGUAAUGGUUGUAAGCGACCCGUCUUGAAACACGGACCAAGGAGUCUAACAUUUAUGCGAGUGUUUGGGUGUUAAACCCAUACGCGGAAUGAAAGUGAACGGAGGUGAGAACCCUUAAGGGUGCAUCAUCGACCGGUCCUGAUGUCUUCGGAUGGAUCUGAGUAAGAGCAUAAAUGCUGGGACCCGAAAGAUGGUGAUCUAUACCUGAAUAGGGUGAAGCCAGAGGAAACUCUGGUGGAGGCUCGCAGCGGUUCUGACGUGCAAAUCGAUCGUCAAAUUUGGGUAUAGGGGCGAAAGACUAAUCGAACCAUUAAGAGGACCAGCCUUCUAGGUGGUUAAGAGGCCUGUAAGGCCUAGUCUCUUUGGAGGCUAUACUGUAAAACUGCGGGGACUGUCCGAUAGCUAUAGGCUACCACAGCGGGCUCGAAAGGGCCCGCCACGGUUACAAGGCCUACAGCUGGGCUGAUCCGCAGCCGCUCUCUACGGCCUAUGGGCUAGGGGAGGGGUUCACAGACUAAAUGACAGUGGGUGUGAAAGCCUAAGAUAUAGUCGGCAGCUCUGCUAACGCAGGCUCUGCAGUCUUUCA